rnacentral:rRNA from 1 species
AACGAACGCUGGCGGCAUGCCUAACACAUGCAAGUCGAACGAGACCUUCGGGUCUAGUGGCGCACGGGUGCGUAACGGGGGGGAACCUGCCCUUAGGUUUGGAAUAACUCCCCGAAUGGGGUGCUAAUACCGGAUCAUAUAUUCGAUCCAAAGAUUUAUCGCCUUUGGAUGGGCCGGCGUUGGAUUGGCUAGUUGUUAGCGUAAAAGCCUACAACUGCUACGAUCCAUAGCUGGGUUGAGAGGCUGAUCAGCGACACUGGGAGUGGGAAACGGCCGGGAAUCCUACGGGAGGCAGCAGUGGGGAAUACAGGAAAAUGGGCGAAAGCAUGAAGCAGCAAUGCCGGGUGAGUGAUGAAGGCCUUAGGGUAGUAAAGCUCGUUUAUCCGGGAUGAUAAUGACGGUACCGGGAGAAUAAGCACCGGCUAACUCCGUG